UGAUCUGUGAAUAGCUCAGUUGGUAGAGCUAUGAGGCUCUUAAGCUAAGGGUCGUUGGUUCGAGCCUCACCUGGGCAA